GGAGCGGCGAACGGCGUAGUAAGACGUAGGAACGUACCCUCAGGACGGGGAUAGCUACGGGAAACUGUAGGUAAUACCCGAUAACCUCCGCGGAGCAAAGGUGUGAUUCCGCCUGAAGAGCGGCUUACGCGAUAUUAGCUAGUUGGUGGGGUAAUGGCCUACCAAGGCGAUGAUGUCUAGGGGGUGUGAGAGCAUGGCCCCCACGACCGGAACUGAGAUACUGUCCGGACACCUACGGGUGGCUGCAGUCGAGAAUCUUCCGCAAUGGACGAAAGUCUGACGGAGCGACGCCGCGUGCGGGAUGAAGGCCCUUGGGUUGUAAACCGCUGUCAGAGGGGAUGAAAUCUUCGGAGGUACUCCUCCGAAGUUGACAGAGCUUCAAAGGAAGCACGGGCUAAGUACGUGCCAGCAGCCGCGGUAACACGUACUGUGCGAACGUUAUUCGGAAUCACUGGGCUUAAAGGGUGCGUAGGCGGCGAUUCAAGUCAGAUGUGAAAUGCCUGAGCUCAACUGAGGCAUUGCGUUUGAAA
rnacentral:rRNA from 1 species